CGCCCUACCUGCCCUUCCUCCUGGCGUCACUUCCGCAGCAGCCCAAAAUGGCGGCGGGGGCAGGUGACAGGGACCCGCUGCUACGGCUGAGACGUCACCUGAGGGAGGAGGUAGAGCCCCAGACACUGCUGCUACAGCCUCCCCCCGGGGGAGCGGCUGAAGAAUCUACAAAUGCGGAGAAAAAAGAGAAGCCUCUUCCCAGACUUAAUAUUCACUCUGCAUUCUGGAUUUUGGCAUCAAUUGCUGUGACAUACUAUGUUGAAUUUUUUAAAACUAUUAAAGAGACCAUUCAAGCAGAUAGUUGGUGCUUUGUCCUCGGCAGCUGUUUGUUGGUUGCAAGCUUAGCUAUUGCUUUUUACUGCAUAAUAUAUCUAGAGUGGUACUGUGGAAUUGAGGAUUAUGAUGCCCAGUAUCCAGUAUUGAUACCUGUCACAACUGCCACUUUUAUUGCAGCAGCAGUUUGUCUCAACAUUGCCUUAUGGCCUGUGUGGUCAUUUCUCACCCCUCUGUUGCUGUUCACUCAGUUUAUGGGUGUUGUGAUGCUUGUGUCACUGCUGGGAUGAGUCACCUAAGGAAGGAGCCAGGGUUGGAAUUUGUCACAUCUGUGUUGGUGCUAGUGGGGUAGAGAUGUUGGUGUCAAGAAAUCUGCCUUUGCAAGGAGGUAACUAACUUGGUUCACUAGACUGUGUGCCAACUUUAAAUACUAUGGAUUCCUUGUGAACCUCUGCUGAAAAACAUGGCAAUACUGUAUUUCAAAACGUCAAUAUCACAUUAAGAGUCUGAUUCACAUUUACAAAAGCAAUUCAACAUUCAUGCCAGUUCCAUCUGUCACUAGCCAUGUUAUUGUUGGAAUUUGUAGGGGAAAGAGGGGUGCAUGUGCUGCAGUGCCCAGAAGCUACUAGGCUGACUUAAAGAACUGAUCGAAUUAAGGUGUCACUAAAGAGUCCUAGAAGGGUCUGUUAUUAGUAGCGGAUGUCUGGAAAGGGAAGUGAGUUGGAUAACAUAUCAUCAAUGUCAACUAUUCAGAAGAGAUGAGAACUUUCAACUUGAACAGCGCAAGUGAAUUCGGAACAUAACCUCUGAAUUGUGUACUGAAUUUAACGAUGCAAACUCAUCAAAUCAUAGUGCAGUAUAAGUAUGUGUGCAGAGUCUAAUUUGAAAUUGACUGUAAACUGUUGACCCUCCAAUAUUUUUUGUAAAUUUUGUUUCCUUAAGCUUUGUAUGUAAAGACCUCACUGCUUCAGAUUACAAGGCAACGGUUUCCUUUUAAACUAAAUUCCUGUGCUCUAUCAUACCUUUUAAAAAUGAUAAUUUGGAGAAUCUCUACUUAAACUCAAAAGUUGUGUAAUAUCUCAGCCUAUAGCUUGUCAGUCAGUUGUUUGACUUUUAUCAAAAAAGUAUAAAUGCAGUAAUGUAGAACCUAUUUUAGUGACCCAAAACUUAUGAUCCUGCUGUUUCUUGACCAAGUUUAUGUAUAGUAUUACAAAGGUAGGUAACAAGCGAGGGAUGUAUUCUUAAAUGCAUUUUGUCUAAAAAUAAUAAUCAGUUGACUUGGAGGUACUCAAGAUUUUGAUUUAAAUGUUGUGCCACUUAACACAAUUAAACCUUAUUAAUUCCAUUUGAAUUCUAAAAGUAAUCCUACAAUAGAUGGCAAUUCUAACCCAGGCUUAUACCCAAAGAGAUGAGCUUCUGGCUGUCUAUCAGUUCAGUUUUUGUUUGUGCAUCUUCUGUUAAAUUAUUGGUAUUUGGAAUUAGUGAAUCAGGCUCAAUCUAGAUUGACAAUGUUUAUAAACUUCUGGUAUGCCAUAUUUUAUCUUUAAAGAAAUAUUCUGUUCUAUUGCCUGUUACUGUACUUCCAUUAAAAUUUUGGGGCUAGAUCAUCUGCAAUAGCAAAGAAGCCACGUGCAGGUAUGGGAGGAGGCCUUCAACAAUGGUGUAAACCUCACUUUUACACACCCUUGAUCCUGGUACCAUUGUUAGCCACUUUAGUAUCUCUGGCAUAAAUUAGAGCAUCUCAAAUGAAUGGGUGCUACUAGAGGUUCCUCUUUGCUGGUGUGACCCUCCUGUGGCUCUGUGACCAGAUUCUGCCAGCACUGUGCAGCCAUGCUGCAACAGAAAAUACGCACUAUGCCUAGAAAAAUUAUUGAUCAAUAACAUUUUUAGUACAUAUUUGUGUUUCUUUGACAAUUCAGACAUGUACAUUUUAAGAUCUUUCCUAGACACAGUAAGUUAUGAAAAGUACAAGUGCCACUUAUUCUCUUGUUUUUUGUUUGCUUCUCUGAUACAAGAUUUGGGGAAUUAAAUUGCACUUAUUCACCAUUCCUCCUCCCUGUCUGCUGUUAAAUUAAUUUUGUGUGUUACAUGGAAGAGUGCCUAUUAACCAGAUUUCCCUUUCCCUUCUCAUUAAGAAGGAAAUCUACUAUAAAUUUAAAGGCAACUAGUCAUGCAACAUUGGGAAUGUAAAACUGUUAGUUCAUUUUGGUUGAGAUUAACAAAUAUUUUUCUAGAAAACUACAGGAUUUAAUCACAGAGACGGUGUUGGGUAGAGUACUUAAUGUAAGAUACCACCAAAAAACAGGCAUUUUUAAAACUUAAGAAUGCGUCAACUCAAAUCUACUGUGUACUAAAUUUAUUCCUUGUCAUUGUUACUUGAAAUCUGAGAUAGCUAGCCAGCAUAUAACGACUACAGGAGGUUAAAUCAUUUAACGUGAAUAAAUUUUCAUAACUCAAGCUAUAAAAUCAAUACUAGUGCUAUUUCCACAGUAGAUGAAGUGUUUGUCAACAUUUAGAAGCUCAUGGGAACAGCCAUCAUUCCGAUAGGCUCUAGUCUGUCUUAAACAAAUUGCUUCAUUUCGGAAAACAUGUUACUCAAAGCAUACAACAUAAGUGACCCAUCAAAUUAAAACUGGUGUUGUUUGAACUAGCUGGUACAAUAAGUUGGUCGCUUGAGUAAGUCUCUCUCUUAAUUUUAACCUUGCAGAUCUAAUGGGAGCUGGAAAUAUUCUCAAAUAAUAAAAGGGAGACUUUCUGCAGGCUCAGGGUUUUCAGUUUUUCUUGUUUCAAAAAUUCCUCGUGUAUGUGUGUGUAAAUUUUGAGAUGUAUUUUGUUUAUCAUGUUGCCUCAAAUGUAUUAUUGCUCAGGUGUAGUAGUUCUGUCAUUGUAUACAUCAACAACAUGAAUUGGUUACUUUAAAUCUUGUAUAUUUGCAUUAAUAAAAUACUAUGCAGCACACUUAAUUUUACAAAGCUUCUGACUAGAAGCUUUUAAUAAAAAUUUAUAUACAGA